UAGAGGCUCCUCCCCAAAGCCCUGCUCCUUCAGCAAAGGGACGGGGCUGGAGAAGGACAGAGCUGGGUCCACAAGGGGAAGGGGAGUGGGAAGCAAGGCUGUGUUCAGACUGUGUUAUGGGGAACUUUAGGCUUCUCCAGGAAUACAUCUGAGGUUCUGCACUCAGUGAACAGGUCAGCCAGGGGAAGUGUUCCACUAGCUCUUUUAUCCUCGCAACAAUCUGGUGAGAUAGAUUAGUUUAAGAGAAAGGUGGUGCCAAGGUCACCCAGUGAGGUUUGAGGCUGAGUGCGGGUUUCUGAACUACCUUCCCCUAGUAUUAGCUGGGCACUCCAGGAUACGGUGGGAGGGUACCGUAAUGACAGAACGGACUGCACUCCUUUAGACUGCAAUAUUUCAAAGAAAUGUUCCCUUCUAUAACAAAAUCACAGCAGUCAGAAAACCAGAGCAGCAUGCUAAGGCCUGAAAUGGAAUUCUGGUGCAAUAAUUUGGUACUUAGAUUUUUCUUUUUUCUUUUGUUUUAACAUGCAAGAGCAUUAAAAAGUGGUGCUCCCUGUCUGUAAACUAAACUGGUAUAGUCCUUUCUGCAGCCUCAUUUCCAUCUUAUUUUCCUACAUGUGUAAACCCAGCCUGAUUGUGGAACAGGCACUACGACAGUCACUGGCCCAGCUGGGUGAGGACGACGGCAGUCGCUAUCCAACUGGAGCAUUCCAGGUUGACGAAGGCUCUUCCAGGGGAAGUUCUGCAGCUAAGGGUGUCUACCACUUUCCAGCUUGCAAGUCACAAAACUAAACAAGCCGAUCCAGCUCUUCCAUCAACAUGCUACCUUUGCCAGUUGCAACACAUUUCAGUCUAAGGCAGGAGCGCGCACUCAGCCAGCAACCCCCACACCAAGCAUUCAGCUUCAGAGCAACUUUUCAAAGCCUUCCGACUUCAGCUAGCUUUUCUUGGCUCAGCUGCUAUUAAAUAAUGACUAUGUCUUCCCACCAACAAUAUUUUGUCAUAAGACGGUCCCAGCAUUAUUGGAGGCUGGCUAGAGAUGGGUGUGGCUUUUGUGCUUCGGAUGUUGUUUUGUAGUAGUGUAUAACUUGCUAUCCUACAUGAAAAAUUAAAAUAUACUUAUGAUUAAAAGAAA